rnacentral:rRNA from 1 species
CCUGUAUCCGCCCGAGAACUACGAGCACAAACGCUUAAAACUCUAAGGACUUGGCGGUGCCCUAAACCCACCUAGAGGAGCCUGUUCUAUAAUCGAUAAUCCACGAUCCACCCAACCACCCCUUGCCCAGACANGCCUACAUACCUGCCGUCUGCCAGCCCACCUAAAUGAAAGACUUAAAGUGAGCUCAAUAGCCACCGGUCACAAGACAGGUCAAGGUAUAGCCCAUGAGGUGGAAGAAAUGGGCUACAUUUUCUAGCAUAAAAUAUACGAAAAAGNACAUGGNGCCAGUCCUUNGNANNAGGAUUNAGCAGUAAUAUAGGACCANNACUUUNCCCAGCCCUAUNUNACGNCNGCCCU